AGUUCUGUGGAAAGUCUUGAUCAUAGCAGUGAGCUGUCUGGUUGCUGUGGCGCUGGUUCUGUUCUCAUGGAGAUGUUUCUACAAAAGGAAAGCGUACCCUGUUACACAAGAUCAGGAGCACGUCUAUUAUACCAUUAAUGACAACACACCAACCUCACAACCUGCAGGUGACCAACAAAGGACAAAGGAACCCAUCUACUACCUGGCAACUCAUCCAGGAGUCCAGAUCACAGAUACCCAGCAGAGCGUGUAUGAGGCCAUAUAACAACCCCAUAACACCCAACACCGAAGGAACGAGUUGAACAGCUAUGUGCACAAACAAAGAAGCCAACAGAAUAAACUCUGGAUUUUGCACUCACUCCAU